AGGCUGGAUACACUAAAUGCUAAGUUGGCUCAGUGUUCCCAGACAUCCUAUUGGGCACUAGAUGCCACUGCUCAGGGAGGUGUUCAAUAUAAUUCAGAAAGAUCGGCAGUGCAUCAACACUGCCAAGAGAGACAGCCAGCCUUCAGAGCCCGUAGAGGGAAUAAGAAAUAUUCUUAUUAAAAUUAUUAAAAAAGUGAAUAUUUGUUAGUGUGAUUAUCAUUAUCCUGCAGUAAUUCAAGAGUGAAAUAUAAUUUGGUUUAGGUAAAAAAUGCUAAUGUUUCUGGUUUUUAAAGAUACUGGUUUUAAAACAAAGUGAAUGUUACUUUACAAACAAAAAUGCUUUCGAGAAAAAGUACAUGAAAAUCAAAACAAGGACCAAGUUUUAAAAUAAAAGGUGUAAAACAUGAACAUGCUUAAAUGAAUGAAGCUUGAGUCAAUUGAAAUACAAUGUGAAGGCUCCUUUUGAACAGCAUAUACUUUUUGAGAAUGAGAGUGAGUGAAAUGCACACUAAUUAUUAGUCCUAAAGUUGUAUACAUUUUUCUUGGCUUCUGGCUGUAGGAAAGGGUCGCAGCUCUUGGCCCCUGCAGAAGAUGAGAUGUUAUGCUAAGUCCUCCUCAAAAAUGCUAGCAUGGGAGCAGGCCACGCCCCCUGAACAGCUUACGUCCCUUGUAGCAGCUCUUCUACGACAAGUCAGCAGGAAGAGCUAGACCAAUAGCAGCCAUUUCAGGUGAGCCAAUUCAGGCCAUAACAGUUGAGGUCUUUUUUUUUUUUUUUUUUGUCAACCGACAAAUUGAAAAGCUGUGUCAGUUUUGGUGUUUCAUCAGCAGAUACCUAGCCAAGGAAAGAC